rnacentral:lncRNA from 1 species
GAUGAACAUUUAUAAUUGCUAUAUUUCAUACAUCAAGCUAGAGUCCAAACAGGAGAUGUUGGCAUAAGUGUAGCAAUCUAUGCUUUUCCCCAUGUGAUCAAAGGCAUAGGAUCAUGUCAUGCUGGGUCAGGUGGAGUCUUAUAUAUUACCUAAUUUUUUUUGGUAAUGGAUGUUUGUGAAUAAAAUGUCUAUUCACUGCAGAUGACCAAUUUUGAGUAUUUAACUUUAUGUUGUAUAUUGAGCACAUUAACUGUAAAUAAAACAAUAUUUAAUGCAUAUUAAUAGGAGAGAGGCUAGAUCUUUGUUUCUGUUUUAAAAGGCAAGUAUUAGGAUACCACUCAACAGAAGCUUGUCCAAAAGGAUUAUGAGAAAUUUCAUUAUUUAAAACUGUGUCUUAUUGAUUCAAAAUUGUGCAAAAGGAUGAGAUGUAAAGGGAGGGGCAUUAUCCACCUUUAAACAAAUAGGGCCUCUAGGAGC